GGGUCAAAUAAGCUGACAUACAUGUGAGACCCCCCCCCACACACACACACACAGGUCUUGUACACCAUUAGCCAUUAGCAGACAGUGGGUGGAAGGCUGCUCGUCUCUCGGUGUGUGCUCGGCAGGGGCGGAGUGAAGUGGGUCUGAAAGCGUGACUGUCAGCGACCGACUCCGACUCCUCCGUCUUCGUGUCAGCACCUCACCCUCGCACCCCGAGAGAUGCCUCUAAUUGUCUCCGCAUGCAUGUCUCGCUGAACUGGCGCAGGCCUUUUGCGGGGAAGAAAAUGUGACGGAGAGACGGAGAGGGAACGAGAGAGCGAGGUGGGAGAGAGAGAGGGAGCAAGAGAGGGUCGGAGGGAUGGAGGGAUGGAGCUGGGGACGCUGAUAAAGAGAGGAGCACUCGUGUUCUUUUCAUCCCAACAGUCCCCUUCUAUUUUUUGAGCGCCACGCCAGUGUAAUAUAAUCUCAUUUAAAUUAAAAUGAAACCCUCACACUUAAUUGCUUUUCUGACAGUGGUGGUCCAUGGGUUUUUAAAUAGACUGCACAUUUUUUUUUCUUUUUUUUUCACGCUCUCUCUAACUCUCUUUUUUUUGGGGCCAUGCCCAAGAGAUUUUUUUUCAGGGUGGACAAGCUCAAGAGUACUAAGAGGGAAGGAGAUGGAGAGAAAGAGAGAAGAGAUAGUAAAAACAGACUGACAGAGAGAGAGAAGGAAAGACAGAAACAGAAUGAGGAAGAAAGAGAGGAAGAGAGUGAGACAGGCUAAAAACAGAGCAAAAGGGAGAGAAAGUGAGUGAGAGCGAGAGAGAGAGAGAGAGAGGACAAGAUGAGAAAGAAGGGAGGGGAAUCAAACGAGCUGACAGCACCGCCAUCUGUUGGGUGAUGAAUGGUGACAAUGGCAAGCCCGAAUUCUCCAUGCCACAGCAGCAUGCAUAUAUUUAUGCUGGAGUUAAAACAUGAUUAGUGAGCUGACUACUGAACAGCGGCUAUCCGUGCUGGAGCCUGGGGCUUCUGUGUGAGAGAGGAGAGAAGCAGUGGCAAGAACACUCCAGAUUCUCUGGGCUCGGCAGACAACUUUAAAAUGGAGGUUAUAGUUGGUUCCUGGUAAAGUUUAUUGGCAAACGCCCAUUCGAUUCACUGUAUAUUAUCACUGUCCUGUAACGAAGUCCAGAGGCCCUUAACAAUAACGCCGAGAGCGACAGGGAGGCAGGGAAGUGAGUUGAAAUUCUCAUAAAAAAAAAGACAAAUAAAUAAAAAACUCAAAAAACUCAAAACAAACAAAAUGAGGAGGGAGAGGUCGAAAAUGCCUGCCGCAGCGGGCCCGUUCUCGAGGUGGGGGGUGCCUCUGUCAAACGGUUCGCCCGGCGCAACAGCACCGGAAUCACUGCGGUUAAGGAUAAAUAAAUAAAACCAGAACAGCAGCUAGCGGUGGCUGUGGGGGUAGCCGUGGAAACCAAGCUAGCGGUGAUCUACAGCCACAAAUCUGUAACAAUAAGCUUCCUCUCAUAAUAUUCAGCCCCUGUGGUGUGUCACCCGGGUGUAGUUUUUUUCUCCUCCUUUUUCGUUUUUCUUCUCUAUCAGUUUCUUCUUUUCCCUCAGACAUAGCCUUGGUGAAGACAAAAGAUAUGGGCAAUGAAGCGAGAGCCAUCUCUUAUUGAUGCCUGCCGGAUUGGGCGUGAGCGAGCGGCUCAAGCUGCUGCUUGUUGCGACUGGCUGCAAUAACAGCCGCAUUCAUCCACUUAUAAUCGGCGAGGCUGUCACGCGUGGCACCGCCUGAUGCCAUUAAG
ensembl:lncRNA